rfam:Gossypium hirsutum cultivar TM-1 chromosome 6, whole genome shotgun sequence
UGUUAAAAAUUUUAUCCCUUUAUACUUUUAAAAACUGGUGUGACUAACAAAAUAACUCAACAAAGACACAUGGUGUGCCAUGUAUACGUUAUGUUGAUGUACUAGGGCCAAUUUUUAACAGUAAAAAUGGAUGGAAUUUUAACA